rnacentral:lncRNA from 1 species
GAAUGGGGCUGGCUGAGCACCGUGGGUCGGCGAGGGCCCGCCAAGGAAGGAGCGACCGACCGAGCCAGGCGCCCUCCGCAGACCUCCGCGCAGCGGCCGCGGGCGCGAGGGGAGGGGUCUGGAGCUCCCUCCGGCUGCCUGUCCCGCACCGGAGCCCGUGGGGUGGGGAGGUGUGCAGCCUGUGACAGACAGGGGCUUAGAGAUGCAAACAGACUCAGGGAGAGAAACAGAAGCUGAUUCUGUGACAGAAGCAGAUCUGUGCAGCACAGAUGCGGUGUGCGUGGGGAGGGGGUCGCCUGGGAGCGCAUUGCGGAGUGCUUGUGUGUGCAGAUUUUUCUCUGGGCUCAGGACUCAUUGUAUGUGGGUCAACACCUUCCUCCGUGACUGUGUUUUUGUUCUGAGCUGAGUUUUUUGGUUUGCCCUUAAAAAAAUAAUAAUUUGGCAUCCAGAGACUGGCAGACUGCCUCAGGGCCUGGACUGCGGAUAUAUUGUGUUCUGCUUGAGGUUUGGGGAGGAGGGCAGGCGGUAGGAAGGGAGAGGGGGAGCUGUUUGUCACACUUUGCUGUAGAGCUGAGAGCACCUGACAAGCUUAAGGAAGUCGUUGGGCUAUGUGGACAAGAAGGAGCCAGCUCCCAGCGGGUUCACAAGCUCUAUCGGAGUUGAAAGCGUGGUCAUGGCUCUAAGGAGCACCUCACGCCCUCCCUGUAGCUGUUAUUGCAGUUUCAGGCAGAGAUCCAGGAGCUGCAGAGGAAGGGAGAGGCACAAUAACCUACAUGGACCCAAGGGAGACAUGUGUUCCUUUAAAAAUGUGAACAGAAGGAAAAACAGAAUGUGUGCAACUGGGGGUCUGAGGAAAGACUGUUUUGAAAGAGGCUGUCAGGGAAUGGAAAGGGUUAAGCUUUUCAUCCUGAAGAACCUGCUUCCCAAAUCAGGCCUUCCUCCCAUCACUAGACCCUGAGCAGCAGCUGGUCCUAGAGACCCCCCUCGUACUGCGCUGCCACAGUCUCAUCCCAUUUCCAGCUCUGUAUUAACCACCAAGCUGCAGCGGAUGGGGCAAGACCUAAGCUCAUUAAUUUCCAGGUGGAGGAAAUGGAGGAGGGGCAGGUCCCUGCAGUAGAGGGAGGAGCAGAGAAAGGAGGCCAAGAGCUGGAUCCUUCUGCCCAGGAAGCCUGCUGCAUCCCUUCCCCCGAGCAUGGCAGAGGCCUGGCUUUGCAAGGCCAAGGCCAUAAGGGAUGCUUAGGAGAUUAAUUUGAUUCCUGACACAAUAAUCAAGCCCUAAGAGUCUCCACUGAAGCUUACUGAGGACUUCUUUCCUCUCCAAAGCCUCAGUCUAGCCUGCUAAAUAAAUUAGUAUUCAGUGAUGCCUUGGAUCAGGGCCCCUCCCCGGCCUCAGUUUCCCCAAAUAUUUAUUAAGUACCUACUGUGUGCAAUCCUUGUGUAAUUAUUAACUCUUAGGCUCUUCAUUUGCCCUCCUAAAGCAGUGUUUAGAGUCAGGCAGAGGUUAAGUGUGUUGCACCUCACCUAGAUACUUCCAGAACCUUCUCUGGGUCUGCAGAAUGUGGCACAACCUGCUUGCCCCCGCAGAGAGAAAGCUGCAGUGCACAUCCUGCAGACUGCAGGUGCUGGGCUGCCUCUGGAGUCCCAGAAGGCAAGCUUGGCUGCAGGACAGAAAGGGAGAACAGCUUCUCUCACCCCUGAGCCUUCACAAGCCCUUGUCUAUUUGCCGUUGCCUUCAAAAUAUACCUCCCCCGAAACCAGUAGCUUUCUGAGUCCUGGUGUCCCCUCCGCCCUUUCUGGACAGGUUUGGGAAGAAGAAAGCAGUCAGUGCUGGGCCUUAUUGGGGUGUGAAGCGCCUUGCUCUGCCCCUUCUGCUCACUGUGAAGGCCGCUGGAUGCUUCUCUUAGGCAUGGUUUAAGCCUCCGAUUACUAAACCCCUUGCCCCACAAACGUCCACAUUGACGAGCCUCUUUUUAGUAACUGCUUCCCCGUAAUUCCUUCAGAGGUUGCUGUACCCUUCGCUGAUGUGCUGCCCUCCUGUAAAACCUCCAGAUGCCUUCCCACGUAAUGCCCCUUUCAGAUGCUUUAAGCUGAGAGCUUAAACCACAGGUACCAUGGCUGACGCCUGCCAGGUUUCUGCUGCAGAUAAUCUAUGAUGGGAGGGGCAUAUUUUUUACUUCAUUACUUAUGUAAACUCUUGUUCCAGAAAGCUUUAAUGUGUGUGGGAGUGUUCUGGGUCUAUUAGGUCUGUGCGCAUGGGUGUGGGCAUUUGCCUGUGUCCACCGGGUGGGUCUCAUUAUGAAAUGUAUGUUUAUGUAGGGCUUUAAUGGCUGAAAAUGGCAAAGAGAUGAAUAGACCACUUGGCCCCAUGUGUAAUUGCCAGGCCCCUUCUGUGCUCAAAUGAGGUGUCCGAGUGAAGGUCAGCCCUUCCCUUCUGUAUUUGGGGCCUAUUUAUGCCACCAGUAAUUUUAUAAGAAAUCUGAAUAGUUCUCCCCUUUGAGUGCAUUUAACUCUUUAGUAUCUUCUCUCUUACCUAUUUGAGCCCCUCUAGCUACAGUCUGGCUUAAAUGAAAGGGGAAUUAUAUGCUUAAGAAAAAGUAGGACACGGUUGAGGCAGUUUGCUGACUGAAUACGCGAAGAAGGACCUGAUGGGCUCAUAUGCACCACUGCCAUCACAGUCCCCAUCGUGAUGCAAGCUUAUAUGAUUCUUGAGGUAACUCUACCAGAUACUUCCAGAUUUAGAAAUGUGUCAAAGGAAAAAUUGGUGAUACUCUUCUUUCCCCUGCCAGAAACAGCCCAGAUCUCCUCUUAAGCGGAAAAGAGAUUGACCUUCUAGCAGAGGCAAAGAAUGGAGUCUUCUGGGGGCAGCUGCAAAGCGUUCUCCCUAGGACAGAUGGAGCCUCCCUUUCCUCAUCUACUCUGUGGGUGGUUUCAGGGCCCACGAGUCAACAUGAGGAGUUGUGCUGGUGGUAUGUGUGUUGGAGGCUGGGCUGGCUGAUUCACAGUGACGAGGAUGUCAAUAAUAACAAGAAUGAGAAUGAUGGUACCUAAUAAAGACUUUUUUUCCCAAGUCCCAUCUACAAUUCUUUCAUUGGGUGUUUUGCCAAGUCUUUCUCAAUCUCAUCUCAGCUUUUUUUUUUUUUUUAAAGAAAAUGUAUUCAAUACUUAAUUGCAUCACAAAUGUAGACAUAGAAGAAAGGACUUCAAACGGAAUUUAUGGGAGGCAAUGUGUGCGGCUUUUUGCCUUAUAGAGCUGUGUAGAA